ensembl:ncRNA Y54G9A.17 ncRNA
GGAUCCACGUUGUCUACAUAGAAAUCAUAAUUGCAAAUGCAAACUAUCAACAUUGAUAUGGCCAAUUUUACGACCCCUUUUCCGCACCGAGUGGCGCUCUCAAUUUCCCUAUUUUUAUAUAUUUUCAGGUGAUAAAUUUCACACCCGUGUUUCUGUUUCUGAUUUCUUCCACACAUUUUUGUAUUUUAUACGUCAACUACAAUAAAUAUGUACCUAU